GAUGAACGCUAGCGGGAGGCCUAACACAUGCAAGCCGAGCGGUAUUGUUUCUUCGGAAAUGAGAGAGCGGCGUACGGGUGCGGAACACGUGUGCAACCUGCCUUUAUCUGGGGGAUAGCCUUUCGAAAGGAAGAUUAAUACUCCAUAAUAUAUUGAACGGCAUCGUUUAAUAUUGAAAGCUCCGGCGGAUAGAGAUGGGCACGCGCAAGAUUAGCUAGUUGGUGAGGUAACGGCUCACCAAGGCAAUGAUCUUUAGGGGGCCUGAGAGGGUGAUCCCCCACACUGGUACUGAGACACGGACCAGACUCCUACGGGAGGCAGCAGUGAGGAAUAUUGGUCAAUGGGUGCAAGCCUGAACCAGCCAUCCCGCGUGAAGGACGACGGCCCUAUGGGUUGUAAACUUCUUUUGUAUAGGGAUAAACCUUUCCACGUGUGGAAAGCUGAAGGUACUAUACGAAUAAGCACCGGCUAACUCCGUG
rnacentral:rRNA from 1 species